GGCAGCGCUGACUUCCACCCCUCUGGGAGCCUCCAUGGUCAGGGUUCGUGUUGGAGACUCCAGCCUGACCAGGAUAAAUAGGAAAACAAGUUUAGAGAUUCAAAGGAUGAACUCCAGUCAUUCUGCUGAUGCUGUUGACCUUUCCAUCCACAGAAAGGUCGUGCUGUAGAGGAGGAAGCUGAACGGGACCGAAUGUGCUGACGGCGCCAAAGAGGAAGACACUGGUUUAAACACUGCAUGUCUAAAGAUACCAGAAGAUAAUCAGGUGAGACGGUGCCAGUUUACCUGUGACUGUGAACUUCUCUGUCGUCAUGACGACCUCUUCUUCGUCUGCAGUGAACAGAAGUUUACCUCCAUCUCUGCUUCGCACCUCCAGCCUCUGAC